GAAAAUAAAAUAAAUAAAUAAAGUGUGUGUGUCCAUGCUUAAGCUGUCAUGGUUGCAUUUCCCUCUCCUUCAGCUGCUGAUCUGCUGCUCAGUGAUGGGUGAGGGAGAGGGAGUCAGGAGGAUCACAUGUUAAAGGAGGCAGCAAAUGAAGGCAGCUAUAAAAAGACUCAUUAAAAAUGUGUGGAUAGAUAUGUUGAGAGUAAGGUGAGGUAAGGAGGAGGGGUAGAGACGAUUGCCUGGGUGUGAUGUAACCAUGGAGAGCAGUGAGGUCUUGGGUAAGGUCGGGGCGGAGCGGCUGUUUUUCCGAACAAUGUACAUGUUCUGUAAUCCAGUUUGGUGGUAAUCGUCAACAUAACUCAGAAACAUCAUAUUACAUGUGUUGUCACUCAGAUGGCAUUCAAUAUUAAUCAUUUCUUUAUUCUCUUCAUUUGAGUAUUGUUCUAUUUAUUUUUCUAUUGGUACUUUUUUUUAACUGUCUUUGAUAUGAUCGAAGACUAUAUUUUUAAAAGAUGGUGCUUGAAACUAAAAUUCCAGUUCUCCCUCACAGUUCUUACUUGAACAGAGUAACUAUUUGAGGUUGAAAACAAUCCUUGUACUUCUGGUGGCUGUGGUUAAAACACAUGUAGUGCCGAGAGAAACUGUAGAAACGUUUGUUUCUUGUUGUCUGGUUUUUUCACCCUCAACAAUGAACGGUGCCUUUGACCCGUCAGGACUUUGGUUGAACUUUUGGUAUUUUAUCGGCAUAAAACCUCAUCAGCAUCCAGUUCCUUUUUAAAUUUCUAUUUAUAAACUGAGACACUUCAGGAAAGCUGUUCCCAUUUUGUGGAGAGCAUUUCUAUAUUAAAGCAGACCUAACCCUCAGCUAAUCCUGUUUUUCCACUAUUUGAUGCAAACAAAGAGCUGAACAAGAUAAACAGUUAUGGAGCCUUUCACGGUUUUUUUUCAGGGUUUUCAUAGCACCCUGCUGAGCUUGAUGCAAGUCAAUGUAAAAAAUUGCAGCUGGUUUGAACGUUGUCUCCCCCCAGCCCUCCCCUCUUUCUUCUCCCCCUUUCUCCCUUUCAAAGAAUUUUCAUUUGAAUGAAAACUCUUGCCUCAGUGUUUUGUUGCCCUGUUAGGGGGGAGGGUCCCAUUGGUCAGAAUCCCUUACGAGGUGAACCAAUGCUCGACUGCCUCCCGGCUGCCACCCCGCCCCCUGUGGCCCAGUGGGGCUCCAGGCCUGGCGUGUGAUUGGUCGGCGGGGAGGAGCCAGACAGAUAUUAAAGCCUUUGCCGUCUGUUUCUGUUCAGAGAACAGAGAGUGAAGAGAGUCCUUGUCAGUCAGUCAGACAACUCUGCGUAUGUGUGUGUGUGAAUGAGAGAGUGUGUGUGUCACUGUGUUUUUUGCUAAUGAGGCGAAAGAGCGAGAUGUUUCAUUGUCAUCUGACAUGGACUUCUUCUUGUUUUUAACCUUCUCCAGGACCGUUGGCUCCUUUUUGGUGAUAAAAGCUCAACACAGGCUGGAGUUUGACAAGGACUGCAGCCAGUCCACCUUCCAGACCUGCACUUUUGGAUAAAGAGUUUCUACCGUUUCAGCUGCACCCCGAUCUGCAGCCUGAUUUCCUUCUGGGUCACGGCUGAGCUAAUAGAUGUGGUCUGGCCGGACCUGGUGUGGAAUUUGACCCAGGUUGACCCUGUCCAUCAAGUAGCCUUUCGCUCAGCUGUCAGUUGGUAAAAAAAAAAAAGAAGAAGAAGAAGACUAAAAGAGCCAAAGAGGAAGGAGGAAGAAGAAAGGAGCGAAGUGAGAGCAGCAGGAGCAGCAGCACAGAGACCAGGCUGUUCAUCAUGCCUGUGGAGACGCUGCGGCCGUCUGACGGCCGAUUGGCCGGCGUUCCCUUCACCUCUGCCAUGCCCUUCAGGAUACUUAACAAGGGUCCGGAUUACUUCCGUCGACAGGCUGAGCCCGCAGCUCGUAAACUCAGUGCGGUGGAGCGUCUGGAGGCUGACAAGGCUAAGUACGUCAAGAGCCAGCAGGUGGCCCUCACUCGUCAGGCUCCCAUCAAACCACCAAUCAUACGCAAGCCUUUAGUUCCUACAGGAAUGAAGCUCCAGUGUCAGAUGAGCAGUCCUCCGGCACGUAAAGUUCCCAACUACUGUGUGGACGUAGAGAACGCGGGAGGAAGGGAGAGCUCAGGAGUGAAAAGAGGGCCUGCACUUAACUUGGACAUUCUGAAUAAUCUUAUUAAUGACGUACGUGACGGACCACUGCCCUGUUCCCAGUCUUCGUCCUCUACCUCUCCCUCAUCUUCGUCCCCUUCGUCGGGAGCUAAAAGCAUCAGCAGCAGCCUGUCAGCAGAACAGGAGAGGAGCAGCAGCCGACUGCUUAACAACUUGAAACCUUUAAAUAAUAAUGGCACAACCAACUCUUCUACCACCUCCUCAUGCACUUCGUCCCCGCUCAACAACAGUCUCCGUUCCCCUGCACCAGAAGUCCCAAGACGUCCACCACCUGUUCCAGCACGGACAACGCGCAUCGGGGUUCCAGCGCCCUACAACUCUCCUAACUCUGUGAUGGUGCGCAGGGUGGACGUUCGGCCUCAAGCCGAGAUAAGGAAGCCCCACAGGUCACAGCUGCAACCCAAUCUCAGACCCAGACAGACUCCACAGGGUCAAGUUCCUCACCCACAGGUUCCACCUCCUCCGCCUCCUACAGCGCCACACAAUCUACCCCAGCUUCAACUGAAGUCCGCUCAGACUCUGCCCUCCCCUCCAGCUUAUCUGCCUCCUAGUCCCCUGCUGGUCCGGGCCGGUGUGAUUCCACCGGCGUCCCCAGCAUUUACCCGCAUAUCGAACGCCAGCUCCAAGGGGUCUGCACGCAAACACCCAUCGUUACACCGCUCUAAAUCAGACCUGAGUGACCGAUACUCUCGCGCCACGGCCGACCUGGAGCGGUUCUUCAACUACUGUGGCCUCGACCCGGAGGAGGUGGAAGGGAUGGGCGGAGUGGAGCGCUUCACCAGAGCCAACUCGGACAUUGUGUCGGUCUCCAAGCUGCGCAGCGUCAGUACGCCCAGCUCGGAGUGCGGAGACGAGGUGGACAGGGAAAGGGAGGAGGACGAGGACGGCAGGCCCGCAAGGGACAGCGAACGUGUCCCGUAUGGCAUUUCUGUCAUUGAGAGGAACGCUCGAGUCAUCAAGUGGCUGUACGGCAUCCGUCAGGCGCGAGAUGCUAACAAUGUCUCAAAUGUAUAAAACCCGAGGGGGGAGAGAAGCACGAGAACUUUUUGUAUGAUUACACAAGUGUUUUGUUGGCUGCAGCAGCACAAAGCCAAGCUGGGAGCUGGCCACACACGCACACUGACCAACACACACACACACGUAUGGAAAGAGAGUGAGGACAAUGUCUUUGUCUGUGAUAUAUGCUCUACAUGAGCAGCUGAGAGAAGAGGAUGACAACACUAAUACUGUGAAACUUCCAUUUCCACCCACUUUCUGGGCUGUUUGACUGUUAUUACCUGGACGUUUGUCAGCAUGUGACUGAAACGUGUAUUCGUUGUUUACUUCAGUUGUGUGUCAUCUCAGUAACAAGCAUUCCUCUGGCACAGAUUCACGUUCAGGUCCAUUUACCAGCGGGUGUUGCGGCCGCGUCUCUACAUGUGACUGCAACACUCUCCGUGGAUGUGCCUUUGCAUCUCGAUGCAUGUUUUCACGUGUUGGCUGUUCACCGUCUGUACUGUAUGUGAUAGAGAAUCAUUUUUAGUCAUGUGAUGAGCGACGAUGUCAUCGGCGGAUGGUCGAAGUAUGCGUGGAACAGAGACGCGUUUGCCUUCAGAGACUUAAUCAAAGUGUGGGUAAAAGGGAAACUCCAGCCAUUAAAAAAAAGGAUAUUUGUUGUAUAAAUGUUCUUGAAGUGUCUCAGGAACAUGGACUCAACAUACUAACACGAAAAAAGGACCAAUAUUUAUUCGGAAAUAAUGUAAUUUAAUGUUUUUUGGAUUUUUCUUUUGUAAAUUGGAUGACAAUGUGCAAUGUCAGUACAGUUAAUAUAGGAUGACGUUAAACACGUGCUCAAAGAUGCAGCGGUCACAUGCGGGAGUGUUUGUAAACAGUGGGGCGGCUGCGUGUCACGUGUGCCGGGGCCGCUCUCAGAAGUCAGGCUGUGCUGCAACUGCUGUUGUGUCGAGGUUUAUGUCUCUGUACACCUGCAGUGUUAACCAAUCAGAGCGCUGGAGGGAAACAGCGGCAGCAACACUGAGCUGAUGGUAAUGUGCUGGUGAAUCUGGCACUGGAUUCCCAAAGAGUUAAAGUGAAGAGAAAUGCUUUACCAUUGUUGUAUUCUAUACAGUAAAUAAAAAAUAUUUUAAAAAG